GUGACCCCAGGUCAGGCGGGACCACCCGCUGAGUUUAAGCAUAUCAAUA
rnacentral:rRNA from 2 species